rnacentral:rRNA from 1 species
CGCGUAAUGAUGAAGCCUUAGGUUGUAAAGUCUUUUAUUGAUGACGAUAAUGACGGUAAUCAAUGAAUAAGCACCGGCUAACUUCGUGCCAGCAGCCGCGGUAAUACGAAGGGUGCUAGCGUUGUUCGGAAUGACUGGGCGUAAAGGGUGCGUAGGUGGCCAGAUGCGUCUGAUGUGAAAUCCCUGGGCUUAACCUAGGAACUGCAUUGGAUACGGUCUGGCUAGAGUCCGCGAGAGGAAGAUGGAAUUGUGCGUGUAGAGGUGAAAUUCGUAGAUAUGCACAAGAACACCGGUGGCGAAGGCGAUCUUCUGGAGCGGUACUGACACUAAGGCACGAAAGUGUGGGGAGCAAACAGGAUUAGAUACCCUGGUAGUCCACACUGUAAACGAUGAAUGUUAGAUGUCGGGGAGGUUACUCUUCGGUAUCGCAGCUAACGCAUUAAACAUUCCGCCUGGGGAGUACGGUCGCAAGAUUUAAACUCAAAGGAAUUUGAAGGGGAACCCGCACAAGCGGUGGAGUAUGUGGGUUAAUU